CACGGGGGGAGCGAAUGUUGUUCGGAAUCACUGGGCGUAAAGGGCGUGUAGGCGGUUCGGUAAGUGGAAUGUGAAAUCCCCCGGCUUACCCGGGGAACUGCAUCCCAUACUGCUGGACUUGAGUGCGGGAGAGGAUGGAGGAAUUCCUGGUGUAGCGGUGAAAUGCGUAGAUAUCAGGAGGAACACCUGUGGCGAAGGCGUCCAUCUGGCCCGUUACUGACGCUGAGGCGCGAAAGCUAGGGGAGCAAACGGG
rnacentral:rRNA from 1 species